rnacentral:rRNA from 1 species
CACAAGCGGUGGAUGAUGUGGAUUAAUUCGAUGCAACGCGAAAACCUUACCUACCCUUGACAUGUCCGGAAUCCCGAAGAGAUUUGGGAGUGCUCGCAAGAGAGCCGAACACAGGUGCUGCAUGGCUGUCGUCAGCUCGUGUCGUGAGAUGUUGGGUUAAGUCCCGCAACGAGCGCAACCCUUGUCAUUAGUUGCUACGAAAGGGCACUCUAAUGAGACUGCCGGUGACAAACCGGAGGAAGGUGGGGAUGACGUCAAGUCCUCAUGGCCCUUAUAGGUGGGGCUACACACGUCAUACAAUGGCUGGUACAAAGGGUUGCCAACCCGCGAGGGGGAGCCAAUCCCAUAAAGCCAGUCGUAGUCCGGAUCGCAGUCUGCAACUCGACUGCGUGAAGUCGGAAUCGCUAGUAAUCGUGGAUCAGCAUGUCACGGUGAAUACGUUCCCGGGUCUU